rnacentral:rRNA from 1 species
AUUGAACGCUGGCGGCAGGCCUAACACAUGCAAGUCGAACGAGUGGCGGACGGGUGAGUAAUGUCUGGGAAACUGCCCGAUGGAGGGGGGUAACUACUGGAAACGGUAGCUAAUACCGCAUACCAUCGGAUGUGCCCAGCUGGGAUUCGCUAGUAGGUGGGGUAAAGGCUCACCUAGGCGACGAUCCCUAGCUGGUCUGAGAGGAUGACCAGCCACACUGGAACUGAGACACGGUCCAGACUCCUACGGGAGGCAGCAGUGGGGAAUAUUGCACAAUGGGCGCAAGCCUGAUGCAGCCAUGCCGCGUGUAUGAAGAAGGCCUUCGGGUUGUAAAGUACUUUCAGCGGGGAGGCGUUAACCGCAGAAGAAGCACCGGCUAACUCCGUGCCAGCAGCCGCGGUAAUAC